UGAGCAAUCUGCCCUUCUCAUCGGAAUAAGCGUUGGAAACGACGUCUAAUGCCGAAUACGACCUCCUUUCGCAUGAUCGGAGGUGGAAAGCUCCGGCGGAGAAGGAUGAGCUCGCGGCCUAUCAGCUAGUUGGUGUGGGUAAUGGCCCACCAAGGCGACGACGGGUAGCCGGCCUGAGAGGGUGACCGGCCACACUGGGACUGAGACACGGCCCAGACUCCGUAGGGAGG
rnacentral:rRNA from 1 species